rnacentral:misc_RNA from 1 species
GAUGAAGAACGUAGCGAAAUGCGAUACGUAAUGUGAAUUGCAGAAUUCAGUGAAUCAUCGAGUCUUUGAACGCACAUUGCGCCCCCUGGUAUUCCGGGGGGCAUGCCUGUCCGAGCGUCAUUGCUGCCCUCAAGCACGGCUUGUGUGUUGGGCCUCCGUCCUCCUCCCGGGGGACGGGCCCGAAAGGCAGCGGCGGCACCGCGUCCGGUCCUCGAGCGUAUGGGGCUUCGUCACCCUCUCUUGUAGGCCCGGCCGGCGCUUGCCGACACAUCAAUCUUUUUUCCAGGUUGACCUCGGAUCAGGUAGGGAUACCCGCUGAACUUAAGCAUAUCAAUAAGCGGAGGA